AUUUUGGGAGCUCUGACUGCGUGUGACUGGAAAGGCAUAAGGCGCAUUGGACUGAGGCAGGGACGUAACUGGAUAAAAUUGAGAACGUGGUUGAGGAUUUGGCUCUGAAAGACCAGGCGCAUAAGGAGGUGGCCGAAACGGAGGAAGGGAAUGAUCCUCCACAGAAAAGCUUUUGAAUAUCAGGGGCCAGAGAAUGGACUUUUAGGAUUUCAUUAAUUAGAUUCCAGUAAGUGAAAGCAGUGACCGGGACCUUUUCAGGACCG